GUUCCUUGUGUCCCUGUUCCAUCAGGUCCAGGGGGUGUGCCUCUGGCCUGAAAAACUGUAUAAAAAUGCAAGCUGUUCUAUAAACCUUCAGACCUUCUUACCCUCAACUCGCAACCUCGUCUCGUGUUGUAGGGAACUGCUAUAAUCACAUUGGGGGUUGCUAUACUCUGUAUACUCCCCUGGGUUUUAAUCACUAGCUCUUCUAAAAGCUGUUCCUGCUUCACUCUCUGAAGGAAGAGAGGUUCACCCACUGGAGCCUGGUCGUAGGUCCAGGGUGGGUAGGAAAUGGCGAGACCCCAACCAAGCUGCGGCGGUUUGUGGGGUCUGCAGUGCUUAUGGUGUCUGGUGUGGUGCUGAUGGUCCUUGGUAAGCACUAG